GGAUGAGAAGCUUCGACUAAGGUUCGAUUCGAGCGCAGCGAGAAAGCGUUGCCGUAGGCAACGACCCGAAGGGCGAAGCGCGCAGCGCUGAGUAAUCCUUCCCCCGUCAUCC
rnacentral:sRNA from 1 species